rnacentral:lncRNA from 1 species
UGUAUCCUAAUAUUUAAGUUGUUCGUAUUUCUGCCUUUCGAUGCUUGUUGCUAUCUAGUCAUUUAAUAUAUCUUGUUUAUACUGCAGGGUUCUAGUACUAACGAUAGGAUGCAUAAUAUUCCUUGAGAAAAAAAAUUAGUAAAUGGUUAGUGGAAGAUUGUUAUUUAGAGAAGCGAAUUAGAGCCUUAGAGAAUUAAAGUGUCGUGUAUUGAAGUGCAUGCAACUUUAAUUUCUGCAUGAGCAUUGUAAUUCUCGUUCUUUUAGUAAAGUUGAGUACUACAUUAGUAAAUCUUUGUGCUUAUUGGCUUGGGUUGUAGCCUUUGUCUUGUAAUGCAAAAGCAGAAUUUGUCCCGCAGGUUAGUGAAUCUCAUAAGAUGGUGCCAGAUACCACCUCUUUUAAUUUUGUCUCUUGUUUGGGGACACCUUUUUCCUCCUUGAAUGAAGAAGCAAUUUUUAUUAAAUGUAAUCCCAUCUUUUUUGUAAUAAUUUAUCAUCUAAUGUCUAUUAGAUCUUCC